rnacentral:rRNA from 1 species
CUCACCAUAAUUGUUGCAUUUUCAGAUCUUUCAUCCCAACUGAAUUAACUCUACGUUUCCUUAGAGAGGUUGCAAUUUGGUCAUAGUAAAUUUGGUGUCAUAUGAUAGCUAUUACCCUUUUGUUUUGGCUGUGACUGAAACCUUAUAUUUAGGAGGUGAUCUUCUGGCUUUGGUAGUUUGACUUUAUUUGACAGUAUUUCUUUUGAUAUCCAGCAAUCUGGAACAUGAAACUAUGAUCUACUGAAGAUGAAAAGAUGAACACAUAGCCUACUUCGAUUAGCUAAUUCUGUGAUGUUGCUUGUUGUUAAGUAGUGCAGCAUUUGUACUGUCAGAUUUAGUCUGGGCAUCUUAUUUUUCUGCCAUUCCAAAUUUUCCUGUUUAUUUAAGUAUUAGUCAGUACACCCACAUAAAAAAAUCAUUCACUUCUAAUACUAUCAUAUCGCACUCUUACAACAAGUGCAUCCCAACCUCCCCUAUGGACAACUCGCUGGGUACUCUUGUGUAUCUAUCUUAAACAUGCAUCAUUUGAAUUAUUUAUUCACUCAGGAUGACACUUGACAAAAUUCAUCGGCAGUAAAUUCACCUAUGUUGCAUACAUAGUGAUUCACCUAAACUUCAUAUGCACUAAUUCCUCUGUCACUCCUAUGUUAAAGAGUUGGGCACAACUACGACAAGCAGAAGAUUGGUGAACGGGAUGAAACAGUCGAUACCAAUGAGAAUGUCGUUGGUGCUAACAAAAGAGUAAAUAGCAACAUCAGUGCUGGCUUUCCAUCUGAAUCUGAGACAUUGAAUGAGAUCCUGUCAUUGCUAAGAAAAGCUAAGGAGGUCACCACCAAGAAUACCAAGGCCGCGUCGACGGACUCAGAAUUUCAAGUGUCAUUGCAUUGUCGAGUAUGUUCAGCGGGAAGGAAAGCAACAAGCUGCUGGGGGUCAGGAUGACAAAGAUUGGUUCAACGUCGGCUGCUUCGUUGUGCCAGUGCCACACUUAGGCUGGUACAUGCACGUACGACCAUGGCGUCGGCGCCACUUCUUCAUCUUCUCCCGAACUGGCCCAUCCUCGCCAUUUCCACCGGGAUAAGCGAGUUGGAGGAAGAUGGAGAGGUGAGCUGGUUCUACUCAUUGACAGGAAAUUAUUUGGGCAUAACUUCCUUUUCGCAACAAGAAAUGAAAAUGUUCCCAUGAGAUUGAUUGAUCGUGCCCCGCUUUUGAACCAAUGUCAUCUAUGUCAUCGGUCAUGUAACCUCUAAGGCACCUGAUAAUAUAUAUGAUGUAACUGUCUUUUCUUCUAAAGAUGACCUAUUGUGUCAAUGUGUUGC